rnacentral:rRNA from 1 species
GUGGGGAAUUGUUCGCAAUGGGCGAAAGCCUGACGACGCAACGCCGCGUGGAGGAUGAAGAAUUUCGGUUCGUAAACUCCUUUCGACCGAGAUGAACACCCAUGGAUUUAAUACGUCCGUGGGCUGACAGUAUCGAGAGAAGAAGCCCCGGCUAACUCUGUGCCAGCAGCCGCGGUAAUACAGGGGGGGCAAGCGUUGUUCGGAAUUACUGGGCGUAAAGGGUUCGUAGGUGGCCAACUAAGUCAGAUGUGAAAUCCCUCAGCUUAACUGGGGAACUGCUUCUGAAACUGGUUGGCUUGAGUGCAGGAGAGGAAUGCGGAAUUCCAGGUGUAGCGGUGAAAUGCGUAGAUAUCUGGAGGAACACCGGUGGCGAAGGCGGCAUUCUGGACUGUAACUGACACUGAGGAACGAAAGCCAGGGGAGCAAACGGGAUUAGAUACCCCAGUAGUCC